rnacentral:rRNA from 1 species
AGUGAACGCUGGCGGCAUGCCUAACACAUGCAAGUCGAACGGCAGCACACUAAUAGCUUGCUCUAACGGGUGGCAAGUGGCGGGUGGGUGAGGAAUACAUUGGACUCUACUUUUUCGUGGGGGAUAGAGUAGGGAACCUUAAGCUAAUACCGCAUACGACCUACUGGUGGGUGCAGGGGAGAUUUGUACGUUGUGGGAUGGAACGCGCCGAUGUCGGAUUAGCGAGUUGGCGGGGUAAAGGCCCACCAAGGCGACGAUCCGUAGCUGGUCUGUGAGGAUGAUCAGCCACACUGGAACUGAGACACGGUCCAGACUCCUACGGGAGGCGGCAGUGGGGAAUAUUGGACAAUGGGCGGAAGCCUGAUCCAGCCAGACCGCGUGGGUGAAGAAGGCCUUCGGGUUGUAGAGCCCUUUUGUUGGGAAAGAAAAGCAGCAGGUUAAUACCCCGCUGUUCUGACGGUACCCAAAGAAUAAGCACCGGCUAACUUCGUG